rnacentral:rRNA from 1 species
UGAGGAAUAUUGGACAAUGGGCGAGAGCCUGAUCCAGCCAUGCCGCGUGCAGGAAGACUGCCCUAUGGGUUGUAAACUGCUUUUAUACAGGAAGAAUAAGCCUUACGUGUAAGGUGAUGACGGUACUGUAAGAAUAAGGACCGGCUAACUCCGUGCCAGCAGCCGCGGUAAUACGGAGGGUCCGAGCGUUAUCCGGAAUUAUUGGGUUUAAAGGGUCCGUAGGCGGAUGAUUAAGUCAGGGGUGAAAGUUUGCAGCUCAACUGUAAAAUUGCCUUUGAUACUGGUUAUCUUGAGUUGUAUUGAAGUAGGCGGAAUAUGUAGUGUAGCGGUGAAAUGCAUAGAUAUUACAU